CAUAUACUCCCUCCGUCCGAAAAUACUUGUCAUCAAAAUGGAUAAAAGAAGAUGUAUCUAGAUGUAUUUUAGUUCUAGAUACAUCUCUUUUUAUCCAUUUUGAUGACAAGUAUUUUCGAACGGAGGGAGUAAACA
rnacentral:pre_miRNA from 1 species